rnacentral:rRNA from 1 species
GACGAACGCUGGCGGCGUGCUUAACACAUGCAAGUCGAACGGAAAGGCCCUGCUUUUGUGGGGUGCUCGAGUGGCGAACGGGUGAGUAACACGUGAGUAACCUGCCCUUGACUUUGGGAUAACUUCAGGAAACUGGGGCUAAUACCGGAUAGGAGCUCCUGCUGCAUGGUGGGGGUUGGAAAGUUUCGGCGGUUGGGGAUGGACUCGCGGCUUAUCAGCUUGUUGGUGGGGUAGUGGCUUACCAAGGCUUUGACGGGUAGCCGGCCUGAGAGGGUGACCGGCCACAUUGGGACUGAGAUACGGCCCAGACUCCUACGGGAAGCAGGAGUGGGGAAUAUUGCACAAUGGGCGGAAGCCUGAUGCAGCAACGCCGCGUGCGGGAUAACGGCCUUCGGGUUGUAAACCGCUUUCGCAUGUGACGAAGCGUGAGUGACGGUAAUGGGUAAAGAAGCACCGGCUAACUACGUG